rnacentral:lncRNA from 10 species
CCAGCUGCCGGUCCUGGAACACCCAGAACUGGGGCCCUGCAGGGUGGAGGCCGGGAGGUCAGGGGUGGGCUCCCCGCGCCGGCCCCAGCGCGCCCCGCCGCCGGCCCCACUCACCGCUAAAGAGGAGGAUUCGGCCGUCUCGGUGCCGAGCAUAGGCGGCCUGCACCACCCUCACCUGGGCGGGCAGCCCCUCCCAGAAGCGGUGCAGCCGUGCGGGUCGCGGGGACACCAGCUGUCCGGAGGGCUGGAGGCGCCAGAACCAGGGGCCUGCAGGGGACAAAGGGGUUCGCAGGAAGGCAUGAGACAGCAGGAGGUCUCCUCCCCCAGGGUGUGUGGCUGGGUGGGGAGGGGUCCCAUCUGGAAAUCAAGGGCGCAAUGGAUCUAGGGUGACCAGCCCAUCCUGGCCCGCCUGAGACUUUUCCCUUUUUAGCGCUAAAAGUGCCAGGGCCUUGCCUGGUGGCUCAGACCUGUAAUGCCAGCACAUUGGGAGGCUGACACCGGAGAAUCACCUGAGCCAGGAGAUUGAGCCCAGCCUGGGCAAUAUAGUGAGACUCCAUCUCUACAAAAUAAUAAAAUAAAUUACUAGCAAGGCGUGGUGGCAUGUGCCUGUGGUCCCAGCUACCAGGGAGGCUGAGGUGGGAGGAUCGCUUGAGCCCAGUAUUUUGAGGCUGCAGUGAGCCAUGAUCACACCACUGCACUGCGGCCCAGGCAACAAAGCAAGACCCUGUCUCAAAGAAGAAAAAAGUUCCGCUUCCAGGGUAAGCCCACAGCCCCAGUGGGUCACUGGAAGUGGGCAGGAAACCAACAUAUAUGAGGCCAAGUGAAAUGACUCACCUUUGAAGAAGAAAGUUUCCCCUCGGAUGUUGGCGAUGGCGUCAAAAUUGCCCUCACAUCGAUCAGGGAUGGGGAAGGAUGGGCUGGGGAGGAAAGGAGAGAGUUGCUGCAGGCCAUCGCGGUCAUCCUGAGACAGGCGGUACUUGUCAGGGUCGCCCACCGGACCC